CACGACAUUUCAGCUCUCCAGUGUCUCAGAAAGCACAGACUCUGACGAGUUUGAGAACGAGGAGCCGUUCAGGUUGCAGCAUAAAUCCCAUACUCGUAAAACGUGUGCUGCAGAUGAGAGGCUAUUUAUCGUAGCAGAAUCUUGUUUAAGAGAGCUGCUAUCAGUGUGUCCUUCAUGCCAGCGAGAUGAUGUUGAAGCUGAUAUAACUCU